GUCCUUUAGAAAUGGAUUUAAGGUUGGACCUGCUCCCUGCCAUAUUGUAAAUAGCUGCAGUAUUAAUGACUGUACUAAGGUAGCAUAAUAAUUUGUCUUUUAAAUGAAGACUGGAAUGAACGGUUUGACGAGGAUUCAUCUGUCUCGAUUAUAACAAUUGAAUUUAGAAAGAUGGUGAAAAUCCCUUCGUGAAAGAGGGGGACGACAAGACCCUUUAGAUCUAAAAAAAGGAGAAAUAAGUAAAGUGCUAAUUGUUAUAUUUCUUUCUUGUAUUUGUUUGGGAAGAACCUUAAUGAAAACUUUAGAUUGGAAAAAGAUGAAUGAAUCAAAAAAAAAAUGGAUUAGAAAAGGAUCUAAGAUUAGAAACUUAGUUACCUAAGGGAUAACAGCGUUAUGUGGUACUGUAGACCUCAUAUUUUACCACGUUUGCGACCUCGAUGUUGAAUUAGGUUAAAAUAUUAAUGAAGAAGAUAAUUAUUUUUAGUCUGUUCGACUAUUAAAAACCU
rnacentral:rRNA from 1 species